rnacentral:rRNA from 1 species
UACGAAGGGGGCGAGCGUUGUUCGGAAUUACUGGGCGUAAAGGGCGCGUAGGCGGCGAACCAAGUCAGAUGUGAAAGUCCUGGGCUUAACCUGGGGACUGCAUUUGAUACUGGUUUGCUUGAAUUCGGGAGAGGAUAGCGGAAUUCCCAGUGUAGAGGUGAAAUUCGUAGAUAUUGGGGAAGAACACCGGUGGCGAAGGCGGCUAUCUGGACCGACAUUGACGCUGAGGCGCGAAAAGCGUGGGGAGCAAACAGG